UCUCACCAAAAAACUACUCGAAGAAAGAAGAAAUGUUAUAAAAUAGCUAGUUGGACUUUUGAUUGGAAUUAUGACUUCCCAGAUGUGUACAUGGCAUGUUCUCACAUCCUGUUACAGACAUUAAUAUAUUUCACCCUUGCAGCGUGGCCUUUACGUCUGUUCCUCCAUCCAGAGUGAAGCAAGAAAUCAAGGACACUUAUGAAGCAACAGGAAUGAACAAACAUUUUGGCCUUUAAAGAAAAAAUUUACCCUCUGUUUUUAUACGGCCUCAACCAAAUUGAUUUUGACAGGGAUUGUCUUAGGCAGUUUAUCUUCACUCUUGUCAAAGCAUAAAAUUGAAUGCAUUAGUUACCUGUAAAGGGGAGGGUAAAGACAGCUCUGUGGUCUUCAUAGUCUUUUUAUUUGGUAUUGAACGUUCCCUGUAUUCCACUAUUUAUUUUUGGAUCUUAUAUUAUUUUGAAUAUAAUCAGGUGAGUGAUGUGAUAAUUAUAAGUGAUAUGAGUGACAUAAUUAUCAUAUCACUCAUCUGAUAAAGUACUAUCUAAGGAAGAGGUUAAGAAAGUGAUAUCCAGUAGACCUAUUCUCGUUAUAUUGUUGUGCAAAGAGCAGAGUCUUGACUUGGGCAGAUGACUAUUCUAUUAGCUUUGAGUUUGUACACACUGCAAGAAGUUGUCCCUUACUUUAUAUCACUUAUAAAUACAUAAAAAGCUAGCUGAUAAUAUAUAUGAAUUAUUACUUACUGUACUAUAAUUUACUGUAAAAAUGCUCUCUGAUACAAAAUGCUGUGCAUAACAAUGUGUAUUAAAAGAUCCACUCUCCACCUACAUUUGGUUAUGAAAGCCUGAUAAG
rnacentral:lncRNA from 1 species